UACGGAGGGUGCGAGCGUUAUCCGGAUUUACUGGGUUUAAAGGGUGUGUAGGCGGAUCUUUAAGUCAGUGGUGAAAUCUUCAGGCUCAACCUGGAAACUGCCAUUGAUACUAUUGAUCUUGAAUACUGUGGAGGUGAGCGGAAUGUGUCAUGUAGCGGUGAAAUGCAUAGAGAUGACACAGAACACCGAUUGCGAAGGCAGCUCACUACGCAGUUAUUGACGCUGAUGCACGAAAGCGUGGGGAUCAAACAGG
rnacentral:rRNA from 1 species